rnacentral:rRNA from 1 species
GAUGAACGCUGGCGGCGUGCCUAAUACAUGCAAGUCGAGCGAACAGAUGAGAAGCUUGCUUCUCUGAUGUUAGCGGCGGACGGGUGAGUAACACGUGGGUAACCUACCUAUAAGACUGGGAUAACUCCGGGAAACCGGGGCUAAUACCGGAUAAUAUUUUGAACCGCAUGGUUCAAUAGUGAAAGACGGUUUCGGCUGUCACUUAUAGAUGGACCCGCGCCGUAUUAGCUAGUUGGUAAGGUAACGGCUUACCAAGGCGACGAUACGUAGCCGACCUGAGAGGGUGAUCGGCCACACUGGAACUGAGACACGGUCCAGACUCCUACGGGAGGCAGCAGUAGGGAAUCUUCCGCAAUGGGCGAAAGCCUGACGGAGCAACGCCGCGUGAGUGAUGAAGGUCUUCGGAUCGUAAACUCUAUUGUUAGGGAAGAACAAAUUUGUUAGUAACUGAGCAAGUCUUGACGGUACCUAACCAGAAAGCCACGGCUAACUACGUGCCAGCAGCCGCCGUAA